rnacentral:rRNA from 1 species
GCAAGUCGAGCGGGGAAAAGUAGCUUGCUACUUUACCUAGCGGCGGACGGGUGCGUAAUGCUUAGGAAUCUGCCUAUUAGUUGGGGACAACAUCUCGCAAGGGAUGCUAAUACCGCAGACGUCCUACGGGAGAAAGCAGGGGACCUUCGGGCCUUGCGCUAAUAGAUGAGCCUAAGUCGGAUUAGCUAGUUGGUGGGGUAAAGGCCUACCAAGGCGACGAUCUGUAGCGGGUCUGAGAGGAUGAUC